CCUACGGGAGGCAGCAGUGAGGAAUAUUGGUCAAUGGACGAGAGUCUGAACCAGCCAAGCCGCGUGAAGGAUGACUGCCCUAUGGGUUGUAAACUUCUUUUAUAUGGGAACAAAACAGGGUACGCAUACCCCCUCGGAUGCACCAUAUGAAUAAGCAUCGGCUAACUCCGUGCCAGCAGCCGCGGUAAUACGGUGGAUCCGGGCGUUAUCCGGAUUUAUUGGGUUUAAAUGGUGGGUAGGGGGGUUGUUAAGUCGGUUGGAAAAGCUGGGGGCUCAACCGUAAAAUUGCAGUUGAAACUGGCAGUCUUGAGUGCAGUAGAGGUGGGCGGAAUUCGUGGUGUAGCGGUGAAAUGCUUAGAUAUCACGAAGAACUCCGAUUGCGAAGGCAGCUCGCUGGACUGCAACUGACGCUGAGGCGCGAAAGUGUGGGUAUCGAACAGGAUUAGAUACCCGAGUAGUC
rnacentral:rRNA from 1 species